rnacentral:rRNA from 1 species
AUUGAACGCUGGCGGCAGGCCUAACACAUGCAAGUCGAGCGGGGUUUUCGGACCUAGCGGCGGACGGGUGAGUAAUGCGUAGGAAGCUACCCGAUAGAGGGGGAUACCAGUUGGAAACGACUGUUAAUACCGCAUAAUGUCUACGGACCAAAGUGUGGGACCUUCGGGCCACAUGCUAUCGGAUGCGCCUACGUGGGAUUAGCUAGUUGGUGGGGUAAUGGCUCACCAAGGCGACGAUCCCUAGCUGGUUUGAGAGGAUGAUCAGCCACACUGGAACUGAGACAAGGUCCAGACUCCUACGGGAGGCGGCAGUGGGGAAUAUUAGACAAUGGGCGCAAGCCUGAUCCAGCCAUGCCGCGUGUGUGAAGAAGGCCUUCGGGUUGUAAAGCACUUUCAGUAGGGAGGAAGGGUGUUGUGUUAAUAGCACAGCAUUUUGACGUUACCUACAGAAGAAGCACCGGCUAACUCUGUGCCAGCCGCCGCGGUAAUAC